CUGUUCAUGACAAGUUUUUAACAUAUCAAUAACAUCUAAGCAUUCUUCAUGAAGGUGUGGAGCCAGGCUAGAAUGCAUUUUCUUCAGGAAAUAUGGGUUAAAUAUGGCAUGAAAUAAUCAGGGCUAAAUACCUAAAAUUCUAAAUCCUGAUUCCUGAAAUUACACAUUGGCCGCCAUCUUGGAUUUGACCGCGAAGUUGAACCAGUGAGUGAACUGGGGGAAACUUCCGUCGGAAGUAC